rnacentral:rRNA from 1 species
UUUUUAAUGGUUGACCUCGGAUCAGGUAGGAAUACCCGCUGAACUUAAGCAUAUCAAUAAGCGGAGGAAAAAGUU